rnacentral:lncRNA from 1 species
UUAUUAAAGUCACUUAACAAAUAAGUACUGACAAUUCAUUGACUGGAGUGGAAGAUGUUAGUGUCUUGAACCAACAUGAAACAACAAGUUAACUGAGCUGAGAAUGAUGGUAGUUUAAAAAUAAUGCAGCAUUGGCUAGGAUUGUUCCUUGGUCACAAAAACAAUCUUACAAAUAGAGUUUCUGCUGUUGUCACUGGUUUUAGAGAGUACCUUUGUGAAUGAAGAUAAAAAGUCAUUUAUGCUAUUUUUUAAAAGCCAAGACAUAAUAUUGUUAA